UGGCACGGUCUGACCGCGGAGGAGUGAACGUUGUUGUCAGGACAACGGCUUCCCAGUGGGAGGAGUGGGUACCUCCGGCUUCUCGCCUCGGGGCGGGACGCUGCGGAGAGAUGCUGCAAUGGGAAGACAGCAGUGCCCCUCUCCCGUACGCGAUUGGUUGGUGCUUCCGAAUCAGAGUUAAUUGUGCUCGGGAAGCUGGGAAAGAGCGUCUGUUGGUUUCCAAGGCGAUAGAGAUGGAGGCUAAUAGCAGGUUCCCGGUGAAUACCCGCAGGACUUGACCCCAGGCCACGCCUUCUUCUCGCUUUUCUCUUCUCUUUUACUCCUUCAGAUCCAAGGAAGACCAAUUCCAGGAGGGAAGGAGCAGCACAUGAGCCCAGUGGACCCAGGGCAAAGAGAAGUAGUACUCACCACCUCAUCCAAAAGUACAGCAUAAAGAAGAGCCUGGACCAGGCAUAAAGCUCCAAUGAAGAGACAAAGGCUGGAUAUGAGUAAAUCAAAGAAAAUACAAAGUAUCAAAAAACUGGACAACUCAGUGGAUAGAGCACUGGACCUGGAAUCAGGAAGACUCAUCUUCCUGAGUUCAAAGGUUGCCUCAGACACUUUCAGAAGCUAAAUGAUCCUGGGAAAAUCACUUAAUCCUAUUUGCCUGUUUCCCUCAUCUGUAAAAUGAGCCAAAGAAGGUAAUAGAAAACCAUUUCCAAGAAAAUUUCAAAUGAGAUCACAAAAAGUCAUACCUGACUAAAACAAUUGAAUAGCAAAUCAAAAAACUGUUGCAAAUUUGAAAGUUCCCAAGAAGUAGAGACUAGCUCUGUAACAACUCCAAGCAGAGAUCAAAGGGGGGGGGGAAGGCAGGGUCUACAUGAAUAACUAGAAAAAAAUGAAGCAAUUAUUUAAAAAAUAAAAGCUUGGAAGGAAAAAAUUAGAAGAAACAAUAAAUAGCUUAAAAGAGAAAGUGGUUAACCUUACUCAAGUAAUGGACUCUGAAAGCUAGAACAGAACAAAUAGAAAUUAAUACUCCAUGAAAUAGCAAGAAAUAUUAGAACAAAAUCAAAAGAUCAAAAAAAGAAAGUAAAAGAUAUCUGAUAGCAAAAACAACUAAUUUGGAAAAUAACAAUAGUGAUGAGAGAGAAAGAGCCAUUGGAAAAAAAUUGGCUUUGAAUUUCAUCUACUUUUACCUUUGAAAUCAUGAUUACUACUGCUUCAUUUUUUUUAACUCUAGCUGAAACAGAAUAGGUUCUGCCCUAGCUCUUUGCCCUUACUCUGUAUCUCUCUGUACUUUCAGUGUGAUUCUUAUACAGAACAUUGUGGGACUUUGUUUUUUAAUCCAUUCAGCUAUCCACUUUCAUUUUAUCAUCCCCUUCAGAUUCACAGUUAUGAUAAUUCUGUAUUUGCCUCCAUCCUACUUUUCCCCCUUCUUUACCCUUUUCUCUCUCUUCCUUCACUCUAUUUACAAGUGGUUUGCUUCUAACCAGUGCCUCCCCUGAUUUGUCCUCCCUUCUAGCAGUUACACCCUUCUUUUAUUCUCUACUUCCCUGUAAGCUAACAUCCAUUUAACAGCUGAAUAUGUGUUAUUCCCUCUUUAAGCCAACUCUGAUAAGAAUAAUAGUCAAGUGUUGUCCACCAUUAUCCAUCUUCCUCUCCACUUUUCACAUGUUUCAUGUGAGAUAAUUUGUCCCAUUUUAUCUCUCCCUUCUGCCUUCUCCAAAUAUACCCCUCUUUCUCAUUCUAUAAUUUUAAAAAUAUUUUCCCAUCAUAGUCAACUCACACCCAUGCUCUCUGUUUAUAUAUGCUUGUCCUCAUAAUGAUAAAUUUCUUGGGAAUAUCAUCUUCCCAUGUAGGAAUAUAAACAGUUUAAUCUUAUUGAAUCCUUUAUGGUUUCUCUUUUCUGUUUACUUUUUUAUGCUUGUCUUCAGUGUUCUAUUUGAAAGUUAAAUUUUCUAUUCUAUUUCUGUUUCUAGAACAAUUCCUAUUUCAUUAGGAAUGUCUAAAAGGCCUGUUUCAUUAAAUAUCCAUUCCUCCCCUGAAGUAUUAUAUUCACUUUUGCUAGGUAGAUGAUUAUUGGUUGUAAUUCUAACUCCUUUGCCCUCUGGAAUACCAUAUUUCAAGAUCUCUUAUCUUUUAAUGUAGAAACUGCUAAAUUUUGUGUUAUUCUUACUGUUGCUUCAUGUUAUUUAAAUUGGGUUGUUUUGUGUUUUUUUUGUUUUUUUUUUGGCUGCUUGCAAUUUUUUCUCCUUUACCUAUGAGUGCUGAUCUUUGGCUAAAAUAUUCCUAGGAAUUUUCAUUUUGAUAGCUCUUUCAGGAGGUGGUUGAUGGAGUCUUUCAGAUUUCAUCUUACCCUCUGGUUCUAAGCACCUUUCUUUGAUAAUUUCUAUCAUGACUUUCAGGUAGUCCAAAAAUCCUUAAAUUUCUCUAGAUGAUCUAUUUUCUAGUUCAGUCGUUUUUUUCAAUGAGAUAUUUCACAUUUUCUUCUAUUUUUCAUUCUUUUGAUUUGACUUGAUUUUUUAAUGUCACAUUGAAUCAUAAGCUUCCACUUGCCCAACUCUAAUUUUUAAAUAAUGAUUAAAAAAAAAACCUUUUUCCAGUUAGCCAAUUCUACUUUUUUUAGGUUAGCCUCUUGAUAUUUACUUAUUUAUUUUUAUCACAUAAAACAUAUUUCCUUAUUAUAUAUUAUUUCAUAUAAACAUAAUCUUAUGAAACCAAAACCCCAAAACAUAUACCCAAAUAAAAAGAUGAUAAAUCAUAUGCUUUCUUUCAUCUGCAAUCCUGCUCCAAUAAUUCUUUCUCUGGAGAUGGAUAGCAUUCUUUUUCAUAAGAGCUCUUAUUCAAGAAAAGGGUAAAGUAGGUACCCAUUGAAGUUCCAUUCCAACUUAAUGAUUUUGUGAGUUUAGUAUGUUCCUAUGAGAGACUUCUUGCUUGAGGAAAAUCUUUAAGAAAGAAUCUUGCUUUACGGACUCAAUUUUUGUUUUCUAUGUUAUUGUUUUUUGAUAAUCAACAAGUAGAACCUCUUAGUGAAUUGAAUGAUUCUGUGGAGAGCUAUAGAAAACCAUUUGUGAAACCUGACUACUAAUUUCUUAUGGUCUCAUCAUGCUAAUACAUGUAGAUAAUUUUCAUAAAGGGUUUUUUAAAGAUGAGAAAGAAAGUGUUGUGUAAGUAGCUGUGAUGUUUCCUUAAUUGCCUUUGUAGAGAAGGUAAUAUUAUAUAUAACUUCCCCACUAAUUUGGUGCCUUUUCUUCCCUGGAUUAUCUUGCAAAAUGGUACCUCAAUACUAAUACAAAACAGGAAAAUAAGUCUAAGCUGAGGGCUGCCCAUAUAAGAUGGAUAUAUUUUCAUGGAAUAUAUAAAUAGGUAGCCAGGUAAUAUGAAGGGAGACAUCAAAAGAGAUCUCUGGAAUCUCUCUCCCUUCUCUUGUAGAGAGAGUGUGAGUCUUGCCUUAAAGGAGCAAAAGGAGGCCCUCAAGACUGACUGCUCUGAUCUCCAGUCUUUUGGAUGAGUACUGGACUAGAAUUAUAUUUAUUUGUCCUCCUAAAUAGUGCUAGUAUAGGAGCAUAAUAGGCACAGAAUUUUAAAAAAUAAUAGCUUUCCUGUAUCCUAAAAAAGGACAGGAUAGCCCUUAGUUUAAAAAUGCCAUCUUGACUCAUUUCCACCAAAUACUAGUUUCACAAAAUACCUUCACAAAUAGUGAAUAGUGACUAAAUUCAUUUAUCCAAGUAAAUAGCAAACAGAAUUUGAAUGCGUUACACAUAUUAGUAUAGACUAGCAAACGUAGAAAGUGAAUACAUUCUCCCACUGAGAUGGAAAUAUAUCAGUUCAAAGAAAGACAAAGAGAUUCAAUCUUACCCAAGAUGAAAAUUCUUCAAAGUCUCCAUAGAGGCAAACUGGAAAUGGGGGAUGUAUUUGAGGAGAUAGCUUCUUCUAUAUGUUUUCUACUUCCAAAUUUUGUUUCUCUCUUUUGAUUAUAUUAGUCUCCCAAAUAUUCUGGAACCCUCUAACAGGGGGGGAAAUUAAUACCUUUCCUCUCCAAAGCAACAACUCCUCCUCUCCUGCACUCACAAAGAUGUAUCAGCAGUCUCUCUACCAAAUACAAGGGACUUGUGCUAAAUACUCCAAGCUUGGCUAGAAACCAAGGUUACAAAAGUAGAAGCAGAGGAACAAACACACAAUGAGUUCAAUAAUACAAAUGAAAAGAUUACUGAAAGAAACUACAUACUAAGUAAUUAAAUACAAAAUAAUCCUAGAGAACAAAUAACAAGACUUAUUUUCUUACUUCUUGCAGCAGUAGAAGACUACAUAGGUAGAAUGUUGCCUAGUUAUGUCAUGAUUCCUUUAUCUGUUGUUUUUACAUAACUCUUUGUUAGAGCAAGAAUUCAAUGGCAAAUUUAUGAAUUUGUUUAUUUUACUAUGCUUAUUUGUCACAAGAGAAGAUUUUUUUUUAAGUAUGAAUGGAGUGAAGGGGAAAAGUGGACUAACUGUGAUGCCCAAAAAAAGAAGAAAAGAAAGAAGGCAAACAGGAUAACUUUAAAAUGAACAUUUUGCAUUUAUUACAUACUUUUUAAAGAAAUCAAAUUCCAUAUAACAGCAAAUUGUGGUUUUAUAUAUAAUCUGCUUUUCCUAUUCUUUACAUUUCAAAAUGUCCAUGUUUGUUGGUGUUGACUAUGUUUAGAAUAAUCAUUUAUGUGCACACACACGCACACACACAUACACAUAAAUGGAAGUCUUUGUCCUACAAAGAAAGAACAGAAUAUUGUCAGAAAUGACUGUGAUUAAAAAAGAUAUAUUGUGUCACCACAAUAAUGGAAUUGCUCUAUAGGUAUUUAGGUUUAGUUACUCUCCCCAAUUUCAUCUCAUAAGUAUUAUUUCAAUUUUUCCAUGUAGCACUUCAAGAACUAAGGUUUGGAGGUUCAACUGUAAUGGUUCCUCGAUUAUGCUUCCUCAUUUGAUGGAUUUAUGAUCUCAUUGAUGUUGAUACCAAUGGUAUAAUCCAUCUGUAGCUAUUUAUACAAUAAGGAUACUAUCUAUGUCCUUCCAUAAAUUUUCUCUAGUGGGUACAAUCAACAUGCUAAGGAUCUUCCUCUAGAAUUCUUGACAUGGAAUGGAGUACCAAAGGAUUGCAAAGACUGCCUAAUCAGUUAUCCUUCCCUUUUGCUUCAUGCCCAUCCCACUCCCUUUUUUGGUCAUAUAUUUCUUUGAUGAUAUCAUUUAUACUACUCCUCCCAGACUUAGUAAUAGGUUGCAGUUUAAUCAUACUCACUACGAACCUCUCCAUUACCCUCUGAGUGACCUGCAACUUUAAUUUUUAGGAAACUAUGAUAUUUUAUGUCUGGCAACUGCAUAGUGCCGCCAGAGGAAUAUUGAUGCUAAAAAGACAGGACUUAGUUUCAGGGAGAAACUCAGGGGUCAUUAAAAGCACUGCACAAUUUCCCAAAGGCAAUCUAGCUCACUCUCCUCUUAUUCAAUUCUAGGUCCUCUCUGUCACUUAUUACAAAAAUAGAUCAUCAUAGAAACAUUGACAAAUUUAUUCCAUUUUCCAUUCUUUUGGGGGGGGGGUCUCCUGUCAGUUUCAUCUGUGAAUACCUUUGGACUUGUUUUCACUCCUAACGGUUUGUGUUGUUUAUGAGACAAUAUAGAUCAUAAUUUUCUGCAUUCUUUCUUGGCAGAUUUGUAUAUAAAUGAACUUGUAUUGUAGCCCUUGCUUGCCAUGUCUCAGCUUGGCCAGGAAAUUGGUUGUUACUGACUAAGGUGGCUUCUGGGUUCUUUUGUCCUUCUCAUUGUGGCAACUGCUUUAUAUUAAGUUUUUGCAGGAAAUGAUGAAAAUCAAAAACAAUAUCUUUUCCUAUCUUUGGCAUUUCUAGACUCAUUUGAAUGGGUCAAGUUGAAUGUUUUCAAUGUCUUCUUAUCUUUCGCCCUUCUUCUAAUUUGAUGUUGAUUUUGACCUUUAGUCUAACUAGUCAAUGGUCUCUCAUAUUCAGAAAGCUGAAUCUGCUCCAAUUCUACAUCAGUAACCUGCUGUUUCUUAUCUUUUAAAAUACAGUCUAUUUUAUUUUUAUGGUUUUGUUAGAUAUUCACUGUGUCUACUGUUUUCAAAUUCACUUCUGGAUGAAAGCCAUUAUACAUACAAGCAUGAGUCUGGUACAGCCAAUUUAUAAGCCACUGGCUUCUUUUAUUUCUCAGACUGAAACUUAUUUAAUGUCCCCAAAUACUUUUCAGCAUGCUCUCCUGCUCCUACCUUUGCAUUGAAGUUCCCAAGUAUUAAAGUAAACAUUGGCAUGUUUCAGACAAUCUUAAUAAUUUUUUCUAGAUCUUCUCUGCCUCUUCAUUCUUGGCAAUAGUUGUUCACUCAUAAGUGAUAGCUCCCUUCACACUGUUCUUCUUAGACUUGUGUUCAUUAAAGAUACUAUAAGGCAAUAUCCUAGUCUUACAGCUAGAAGAGGCUAUCUACUCAACCUCCUUAUUCUUGAAUGAAUGAAUGGAUGGGGGAAUAAACCAAGUACUUACUAGAUGCAAAGCACUGGGGAUACAAAUAAAAAAGCAGUACAUUUUGAUCAGCUAGUCUAUAAAAUGAUUGACAUGUGAUAAAACCAAGUCCUUUGUCUCUUCUAGGAGAACUGUGCCCCUUGAUUCCAUUUACUGCAACUUUCUCAUCUUUUGGUUUUAUUUAUUACCAAAAAAUCAAUAUUAAUAUGGCUGGUUUCUUCAGAUAGUGUGGAUAUAUGUUGAUCAUUAGACAAACAUCUCAUAUUUAGAGUACCUACAAAUAAACAUUUAUAGAUAAUUUUAAAAUGUCA